rnacentral:rRNA from 1 species
UACGGGGGGGGCAAGCGUUGUUCGGAAUUACUGGGCGUAAAGGGCGCGUAGGCGGCCUUCUAAGUCAGACGUGAAAUCCCCUCGGCUUAACCGGGGAACUGCGUCUGAUACUGGAGGGCUUGAAUUCGGGAGAGGGAUGUGGAAUUCCAGGUGUAGCGGUGAAAUGCGUAGAUAUCUGGAGGAACACCGGUGGCGAAGGCGGCAUCCUGGACCGAGAUUGACGCUGAGGCGCGAAAGCUAGGGGAGCAAACGGG